rfam:Macrostomum lignano uti_cns_0000575, whole genome shotgun sequence.
GGGGUUGUAGCCUAGUGGUCGGAGAGUCGGACUCACGAUCUGAAGGUUAGGGGUUCGAUUCCCGAUCCCA